UCAGAUGCAGUCAAGAAAUACUUUGCCUAAAAAAAAGUAUAUGAAAAAAACAGAAUAGCUCGCUAAGUUGAAAACCCGAAAGGGCGGCUUAGGCAAAAAUGAGCGUCUCGGUGGAAAACCCGAAAGGGCGAUCCAGGCAGAAAUUAGAGACAUAACAAAAAAAAAUGAAAAAUGAAUUUGCAUCCCGCUAGAUUGAGUACCUCACCCUGGGGCAAU
rnacentral:lncRNA from 1 species